rnacentral:rRNA from 1 species
GAUGAACGCUGGCGGCGUGCCUAAUACAUGCAAGUCGAGCGAACAGAUGAGGAGCUUGCUCCUCUGACGUUAGCGGCGGACGGGUGAGUAACACGUGGAUAACCUACCUAUAAGACUGGGAUAACUUCGGGAAACCGGAGCUAAUACCGGAUAAUAUAUUGAACCGCAUGGUUCAAUAGUGAAAGACGGUUUUGCUGUCACUUAUAGAUGGAUCCGCGCCGCAUUAGCUAGUUGGUAAGGUAACGGCUUACCAAGGCAACGAUGCGUAGCCGACCUGAGAGGGUGAUCGGCCACACUGGAACUGAGACACGGUCCAGACUCUUACGGGAGGCAGCAGUAGGGAAUCUUCCGCAAUGGGCGAAAGCCUGACGGAGCAACGCCGCGUGAGUGAUGAAGGUCUUCGGAUCGUAAAACUCUGUUAUUAGGGAAGAACAAAUGUGUAAGUAACGAUGCACGUCUUGACGGUACCUAAUCAGAAAGCCACGGCUAACUACGU